rnacentral:rRNA from 1 species
UGGGGAAUUUUGGACAAUGGGGGAAACCCUGAUCCAGCCAUCCCGCGUGUGCGAUGAAGGCCUUCGUGUUGUAAAGCACUUUUGGCAGGAAAGAAACGUCAUGGGUUAAUACCCCGUGAAACUGACGGUACCUGCAGAAUAAGCACCGGCUAACUACGUGCCAGCAGCCGCGGUAUUACGUAGGGUGCAAGCGUUAAUCGGAAUUACUGGUCGUAAAGCGUGCGCAGGCGGUUCGGAAAGAAAGAUGUGAAAUACCAGAGCUCAACUUUGGAACUGUAUUUUUAGCUACCGGGCUAGAGUGUGUCAGAGGGAGGUAGAAUUCCGCGAGUAGCAGUGAAAUGCGUAACUAUGCGGAGGAACACCGAUGGCGAAGGCAGCCUCCUGGGAUAACACUGACGCUCAAGCACGAAAGCGUGGGGAGCAAACAGG